rnacentral:rRNA from 1 species
UACGGAGGGAGCUAGCGUUGUUCGGAAUUACUGGGCGUAAAGCGCACGUAGGCGGCUUUUUAAGUCAGUGGUGAAAUCCCGGGGCUCAACCCCGGAACUGCCCUUGAAACUGGAGAGCUAGAAUCUUGGAGAGGCGAGUGGAAUUCCGAGUGUAGAGGUGAAAUUCGUAGAUAUUCGGAAGAACACCAGUGGCGAAGGCGACUCGCCGGACAAGUAUUGACGCUGAGGUGCGAAAGCGUGGGGAGCAAACAGG